CACAGACAAGGCCCGAGGUGGAUCCAGUUCAAGCACAAGAGUGCAAAUGGCCUACUUAGAGUUUAAAGUGAGUAAUUAGAAACCUAAGCGGGGCUCAUUUCUUCCCUACUGAUGAACGUAAUGAAAUGCCGCGUGCUCCCGUGGUGAGUGGCACUGGGACAGGGCCUAGACUGAUGGACACCAGAACAGCUGUGACCACAAAUCACAGAAGACCCAGACGAACUAGCCUAAGCUAAAUGGGGUUCCUUGGGCCCCCAGACGUGUCCCAGGAGCCACUGUGUGUCUUAACCGAUCACGGUCAACUGCUGCCUGAACCAGGAGAAAGGGAAGGUCAGGAUUACAUCAGGACUGUUUGCUCUUUGAGGCGCUCCGUAACCUUCAACCUGCCCUCCAAACUGACACACUGACUGCCACUAUUGAUGCACAAAAGAAUAAAGACAACAUGUCUAAUCUAUCUUUA